GCCCUGAUGGCGGAAUCGGUAGACGCAGCGGAUUCAAAAUCCGCCGCCGCAAGGUGUGCCAGUUCGAGUCUGGCUCGGGGCACCA
rnacentral:tRNA from 1 species